rnacentral:rRNA from 1 species
GACGAACGCUGGCGGCGUGCCUAAUCCAUGCAAGUAGAACGCAGUUGCGAACGGGUGAGUAACGCGUAGGUACCUGCCUCAUAGCGGGGGAUAACUAUUGGCAACGAUAGCUAAUACCGCAUACUGUGAGCUGGACCUGCGUUGUAUUAGCUAGUUGGUGAGGUAAAGGCUCACCAAGGCGACGAUACAUAGCCGACCUGAGAGGGUUAUCUGCCACACUGGGAACGAGACACGUCCCAGACUCCUACGGGAGGCAGCAGUAGGGAAUCUUCGGCAAGUGACGGAAGUCUGACCGAGCAACGCCGCGUUAGUGAAGAAGGUUUUCGGAUCGUAAAGCUCUUUUGUUAGAGAAGCGGUAUCUAACCAGAAAGCCACGGCUAACUACGUGCCAGCCGCCGCGGUAAUUC